ensembl:snRNA U6 U6 spliceosomal RNA
GUACUGUCAGCAGCACAUAUACUAAAAUUGGAGAAGAUUCACAUGGCCCCUGCUCAAGGAUGACACGCAAAUUCAUGGCGGUUCCAUAUUUUU